GGCCAGGUGGCUCAGUUGGUUAGAGCAUUGUCCCUUACAACAAAAGGUUACAGGUUCGAUUCCUGGUCAGGGCA
rfam:Myotis davidii contig176461, whole genome shotgun sequence.